CAAACAGUACGUGAAACCGUCAGGAGGGAAACGAACGAGGUUGGUGCAGUGAUCGCGCAGGUUCAAGCACCGCCGAGGUCACCGGCACGUCGACGAAGACCGUCCCGCGCCGUCUGCCCGAGGCAGUGCCGUACUCCUCGCGAGCGCGAACCAGCGGCGGUCGGAUCGGAGCCACAAGGCGGCAGGGAAGGUACGUGGACGUGGGCCUUCCCUGCAUUCACAACUUACAGCCCUGCUUGCUGGCGCCCCGGUCCGACCGAGGAACAAGGGCAGCCCCUGCCCGCCGUGGUGCACGCCGAAUGGCGGGGCCUCCCGGCAGGAGUGAACCGUGCGGUGUGGACUGCAUGCAGUGCUAACCGUGGCGGCGAUCUCGUGUCGGAGAGCGUCACCUGUGCACCAGUGCUGCUGGUAUUCGGACGGCCUCGUCCGA
rnacentral:sRNA from 1 species